AUUGAACGCUGGCGGCAUGCCUAACACAUGCAAGUCGAGCGGAGCGGCGGACGGGUGAGUCAUGCCUAUGAGUCUGCCUUGUAGUGGGGGAUAACGUACGGAAACGGGCGCUAAUACCGCAUACUAGCAGAUGAGCCGAGGUCGGAUUUGCUAGUUGGUGUGGUAAAGGCCUACCAAGGCGACGAUCCCUAACUGGUCUGAGAGGAUGAUCAGUCACACGGGAACUGAGACACGGUCCAGACUCCGACGGGAGGCCGCAGUGGGGAAUAUUGGACAAUGGGCGAAAGCCUGAUACAGCCAUGCCGCGUGUGUGAAGAAGGUCUUCGGAUUGUAAAGCACUUUAAGUUGGGAGGCGUUACCAACAGAAUAAGCACCGGCUAACUUCGUGCCAGCAGCCGCGGUAAUAC
rnacentral:rRNA from 1 species